rnacentral:lncRNA from 1 species
AAAACUCCCAAUGUGGAAUAUAUAUAUAUAUAUAUAAAGAACAGGUAAAGCACGACAAAGCUAGCGAAUAUGUAUGUAAAAUAAAUAUUUAAAACGCGGAAACAUAAUUAAAAAUAAGUCACUAGACCUUUUAAUAGUAAUGAGAAAAUGAACAUUAAUUAACAGUCCAUUUCUUGCAGCGCUACUCUCUACAUCAAUUGCUUGCUUGGAGUCUACAAUAAUACAUCUUAAAAGGACAAUGUGGAAAAUUCCAGAUCUUCUCCUUAAUUGAAGAAAGCCAAGAGAGUUUCCCUUUUUUUAAAGGAAGUCUUCUUUGGUAAUGUUGUUUAAUGAUCUUCGAGCUUUUGUGAGGAUGGGGAAAAACGAAUCUCAUCAGAUUUAUGCCUCAAAAUAAUAUUUUCAGAAGUUGAAUCAUAGAAACCGCCAAUGACUGGAUGAUUAGCAGUAUUAUAGUUAUUAUUUCUAGCUAUGAAAACAAAUUGAAUAAUAUUCGACUGGAUUUGAUCUUUCUCAAAAAUAAGUUUUUUCAUAAUGAUGACUUUCCAUCAAAUAUCCCCCCCCCCUUCUUUCCAUUUCUUCUGUAGACCAAGUCUUUAUAUCCUUGAGAUCAAUAGAGUAAUAAAUCAUUUCAUUCUCAAUUUUAUUUUGUAUCUCAGUUAAUGAUGAGAUAGACGAUUUUUACGCAAAAAAUUUGUGAACUUUAUCUCGUAUUAAAAAGACAUCCCUGAUAACUAGAUAAGCAUGAUAGCAUCCGAUAUUAUCUGUUUUAUGUGUGUCAUAAAGGAAUCACGUUUAUUAGGCGAUAGAAAAGACAAAUUAUUAUGGAGAUUAUACUGUUGUUAUCAACACUACUUUUCUUAAUUUAUUAAAACAUAAUUGGAAAAUAUAAAAUAUGGCGCCCGAGCCAUACUUCAAAAAUUGAUUUCGGCAAUUUUUGUAAGAAGUUUAACCUA